GUGGCAUUCAGGCUGGCAGCAAGUUGGGGAGUUUGUUUCUAUCUUUGGUUAUCUAGCUGUAUGAGUGUAAAUCAGCCGUCAUAAAGCUAGAUAACCGAAAGUAGGAAUAACUUCCGUGACGUCAUAGAGGAGAAGAACAUACCAUGCAUGAUGACUUUACAUUCUACUCUGACGUAACAAAGAGCAUCCUCCAGCAUCAAGCAGAGCUAAACUCAGUCACUGAUCCUUGGAGUUGGGAAUAAAUGAACACAGCUCCACAAGGGCAUGGAGAGAAUUAACAUUUCAUAGCAGGAGACUAGUGAAUGGCGGGGCCUACACUACAAAAUGGCUUCUGGUGUGCAGCAGAGUCACUGAGAACACCAGAGACUACACAGCCCUUCCUGGAGUACACUGCAUCUCUAAAACCAGCCAAUCAAAUUAGCCAUUUCCCAAGCUUUGUUUCAAUAUGUGUGAGCAUCACUCUACCAAUAUGAGGUGCCAGCGUUGAUAAAACAAAAGGAGACAAGCAAAUGCAAGCAUCUGCCUUGGAUGACAUCCUAUUUCUAAUUCAUCAACCCGAGGACCUAUUUUGUGGAUGGAGGCCAUUUUGAUCGAACAGAGGAAUACUUUAAGAUGGCUGCUUUGGCACAAGG